UACGGGGGGGGCAAGCGUUGUUCGGAAUUACUGGGCGUAAAGGGCUCGUAGGUGGCCAACUAAGUCGGACGUGAAAUCCCUCAGCUUAACUGGGGAACUGCGUCCGAUACUGGAUGGCUUGAGUUUGGGAGAGGGAUGCGGAAUUCCAGGUGUAGCGGUGAAAUGCGUAGAUAUCUGGAGGAAUACCGAUGGCGAAGGCGGCAUCCUGGACCGGCAUUGACGCUGAGUGAGCGAAAGCCAGGGGAGCAAACGGG
rnacentral:rRNA from 1 species